rnacentral:tRNA from 1 species
GGCAGCGUAGCUCAGUGGUAGAGCAGGGGACUCAUAAGCCCUUGGUCGUUGGUUCAAAUCCAAUCGCUGCCA